CCUACGGGUGGCAGCAGUAAGGAAUAUUGGUCAAUGGACGGAAGUCUGAACCAGCCAUGCCGCGUGCAGGAAGACGGCCUCUGGAUUGUAAACUGCUUUUAUCGGGGAAGCGGUACUCGAAGAAUAAGGAUCGGCUAACUCCGUGCCAGCAGCCGCGGUAAUACGGAGGAUCCAAGCGUUAUCCGGAUUUAUUGGGUUUAAAGGGUGCGUAGGCGGCGUUGUAAGUCAGUGGUGAAAGUUUUCAGCUUAACUGGAAAAUUGCCAUUGAUACUGCAGUGCUUGAGUACAGAUGAGGUGGGCGGAAUGUGUCAUGUAGCGGUGAAAUGCAUAGAUAUGACACAGAACACCGAUUGCGAAGGCAGCUCACUAACUUAACUGACGCUGAGGCACGAAAGCGUGGGGAUCAAACAGGAUUAGAUACCCGAGUAGUC
rnacentral:rRNA from 1 species